CGAGCUUUGGUGAGCCCCCGACCGUGAUGUGCUUGCUGUUGAGGCAAACCAUUCAAGUUCGCGCACUCAACCCAGAGCAUGCCGCCGGCCAUGCCUGCCACUCACCGAGGAUAGGUCUAGGGUUUGGUAUUCGGGGAGGUAAAAGAAGGAGGAGGUGCACUUAGGUGUGGGGAACAUUCUGGGGUAGUCUCCAGGGUGGGCCCCCCCGCCUUUGCACUGGCGUGGCCGCGCCACCGCCGUCGUCAUGCUGGCGUGUGUGCGUGCCCAAGGUUGAAGAAGGGGCGGGGUGUUGUAUGUGAAGGUAAUAGAAGUCUAGGGGGUUAUGCAUAAAAGGUUUGUGUUUAAUUGUUAGGAGGAAUUUCUUCCAGGGCCUAAGCGCUAGAUGUGAGGUCCAUUUUGAAAAAGGAAGGGCAGAUAUUUUAGGAAAUAAGGUUCCAAGGGGCCUCGGUGUGAAAGUAGUUUAGUUAAUAUUUGUAAAUCUUGACUGCAACUUGUGAAAUCCAUAGGAAAUCAUAGAAAAAGGUAAAAAUGCAAACUAAAUUUGGUCGCUUUCCUGAUGCUCAGUUCUACCUAGGAAAAAUACUUGUUCAUGUGAAGUCUAUAUUUUUGUUGCUGAUUAAAAUGCUUGUUGUUUAAUCUCCUUCUUUUGGAAUAAAUAGCUCGAGUAAUCAUAAAAUUCUGAUAAAUUCAGAAUAAAAUAUUCCUAUGUUGAGAAGUAUUAUGGGAAUAUUGUAGAACCAAAUUGCUUAUAUAACUUUAGAUAUAAAUUAUUCUACAUAUCUACAAUUUUGCAAUGUUUGAUUUUUAAUAAACUCUGUGGAAGUCCAAUCAUGCUGAAGUUUUUACAGUAAUGUGUUUGUGUGAUUAGUAAGCUCCUAUAAAUGAUUUAUGUUCAUAUAACACAGAAUACUUCCUGAAUAAUUAUUCUUUCUAUAAACUAGUUUAAAUUAUUAAAAAUAAUUGCUGCUAGAAUU
rnacentral:lncRNA from 1 species